rnacentral:lncRNA from 1 species
UUUUAAAUUGUGUUUUACUUUUAUCUGUUUCUAGCUGUUUUCGCAAAGUCAGCCAACCUCUUGCUUCCAAAUGACCCUUAUCCAGAAGUAUCCGUGAGUACCUCAUCAACAGAAACUAAAGUGGAGACCUACCUCUCAGAGGAAAAACGCACACAUAAGAAAAGCCGACCCACUUCAGUACUGGGAAGAACAUCCUAAUCUGUUUCCCUCUAUGGCUGCUGUUGCGAUCCCAGUGUGCCCCCUGUAGCUCUGUGGACAGUUUUGGAUUUGUUUACAUCUCACCCCAACCGGUCGCGGCAAAUGGCUGAACCUCCCUGAGCCUGGUUCUGCCGGAGGUUUCUUCCUGUUAAAAAGGAGUUUUUCUGAACACACUCUACCAGCAACACUGACGGCUCACCAGUGGGAAGUGAUAGAUAAGACUGCUGAUGUGCUCUCAUCCAUUGAAGAGCUGACCAGAAACAUGAACAGGGAGACUGCAACUGCACCUGAUGGGAUCCCUGCCAAAACAGUGAAGGCAGUGGAGAAGCCCUACACUGAUGUUGAAACUGUGCCACUCUUCUAGAAACCAGCUACAAGGAU